CAAGGCCUGGGGGCCCACAAACCUGGGUCUGUAUGCCCACUCUUCAUUAGCAGCUCCAGAACCAAGUGCGAUCAGUUUUCUGGAACUCGUUUCCAUAUCUCCACUGUGAUGUAAGGAUGUGCAUGGAUCCUAAAUGUGAGAAGCUGGCAAUCACCAGGUCCCUGGCAGGUGCUCAGAGUCUGAGCUACCAUCAAAAUCAAGGGCACAGGGGGAGGCUAACUGCUUCUCUGAAUACCCUAAGGGAGGCAGAUCUAGGCCAGGUGACCAGGGUUUACAAGUCCCAGGACAGCAGGUUGGGCUUGGUACACGGAAGAACUGAUGAGCAGCUUCAGUCAUGCAGCAGGACAGAUCAGGACAAAGCCAUGCUGGAGUGGGGGCCACACAUCUGCUGAAAACCCCCAACACUCUUUUUCCCAGCAGCAGCUUCCAAGCAACUCCUGAGGCCCUCCCACCGGCUAACCAGAAAGGAACCCACCAUUGGUCUCCUUAGUAACGACUUCCAAGGCCCCUUGGUGAGGAUUUUAACAAGCUUCCAGCUCUCUCCCCAAACUGCCUAAUUUUUACAACAAUCAGACUCCUUUUUUCUCCUCUAAACGUUUAUUUUAGCACAUCUGAAAAGCGCACAGUGUGAUUUCCAGACCCAAGUUAGACAGCGAUUUCUUCACAAAGUGCAACGCCCUCAAUUAAUGAACCCUCUGGGAAUGAAGUACCUUCUAACAAAAACAUUGUUCAAAAUAAAGCUGGAAAAAAAC
rnacentral:lncRNA from 1 species